CUCAACACAUCGUUUCCUCCCCACACAAUAUUUUCUUCCACAAAAUCGUGACCUAGCAACAGAUUCCAGAACAGUAAGUAAUACUUCUUCUUUGGUUUUCUAUUUUCUUCUUUUUUCAUUUAGGCUUCUCAUUUUCUGUUUUCCCUCUUUUCUUCCCUAAUCUUCCUCUCCUCUUCUUCUUUCAUUUUAUUCUUCAUCUUUCUAUCCUUCUCUUUUUAUCAUUCUUGUUAAAGAUUUGUGCCUUAAACCCUAUAUAUUGAAUACCAAUUUUAGGGUUUGUCAUUCUUUUUUAAUAUUGUUUGGUUUUUGAUGCAGCAAGUUUUUUUUUUUAAUUAUACCUAAUUUUUGACAUUCUUAUUUAUCAUUUUAUUUUUGAUGCAACAAGUCAUCAUUGCCAUUGAAAGGGAUCGUUUCUAUUGAAUUUGUUGGUACAAAAUCAACUGCAAAAAGGAAAUGGUGCUAUCUAAUGUUUUGUAAGUGUUAUGUUUAAAACAAUAAAUAGACCAUGUUUCACAACAUCUUAUAAUUUGAAUUUGUUAUCUUUACUUUUUAAAUGGCCUGUGUUAAAAAAACUGU
rnacentral:lncRNA from 1 species